CCUACGGGGGGCAGCAGUGGGGGAUAUUGCACAAUGGGGGAAACCCUGAUGCAGCGACGCCGCGUGGGUGAAGAAGUAUUUCGGUAUGUAAAGCCCUAUCAACAGGGAAGAAAGAAGACGGUACCUGACUAAGAAGCCCCGGCUAACUACGUGCCAGCAGCCGCGGUAAUACGUAGGGGGCGAGCGUUAUCCGGAUUCACGGGGUGUAAAGGGAGCGUAGACGGCCGUGCAAGCCAGGAGUGAAAGCCCGGGGCCCAACCCCGGGACUGCUCGUGGAACUGUGCGGCUGGAGUGCGGGAGGGGCAGGCGGAAUUCCUGGUGUAGCGGUGAAAUGCGUAGAUAUCAGGAGGAACACCGGCGGCGAAGGCGGCCUGCUGGACCGCGACUGACGUUGAGGCUCGAAAGCGUGGGGAGCGAACAGGAUUAGAUACCCGGGUAGUC
rnacentral:rRNA from 1 species